rnacentral:rRNA from 1 species
UCGCGGCGGUGUGCGCAGAANGGUCUGGGCUCGAGCCUGCCUGGAGCCGCCGCCGGUGCAGAUCUUGGUGGUAGUAGCAAAUACUCCAGCGAGGCCCUGGAGGACUGAUGUGGAGAAGGGUUUCGUGUGAACAGCCGUUGCACACGAGUCAGUCGAUCCUAAGCCCUAGGAGAAAUCCGAUGCUAACGGCGAUGGGAAACGCACUGAACUCUUGAGAGAAUUGAGACAGAGACCCAUUGAUGGGGCGAAAGGGAAUCCGGUUCCUAUUCCGGAACCCGGCUGCGGAACCGUUGUUUGUCGGGCUCUCGCAAGGAGUUCGUCAGGGCAACCUAAAAGGGCCCGGAGACGCCGUCGGGGGCCCCGGAAAGAGUUUUCUUUUCUGCAUGAGCGUUCGAGUUCCCUGGAAUCCUCUCGCAGGGAGAUAGGGUUUGGAACGCGAAGAGCACCGCAGUUGCGGCGGUGCACGGGAAUUCCCGACGGACCUUGAAAAUCCGGGAGAGGGCCACGUGGAGGUGUCGCGCCGGCUCGUACCCAUAUCCGCAGCAGGUCUCCAAGGUGAAGAGCCUCUAGUC